UAACUGGUAGAAACUGGAGGUGUGUCUU
rnacentral:piRNA from 1 species